rnacentral:tRNA from 1 species
GUUUUUGUAGUUGAAUAACAACAGUGGUUUUUCGGACCGUAGGUCCUGGUUUGAGUCCAGGUAAAAAUA